rnacentral:rRNA from 1 species
CGCGGCCUAUCAGCUUGUUGGUGGGGUAAUGGCCUACCAAGGCGACGACGGGUAGCCGGCCUGAGAGGGCGACCGGCCACACUGGGACUGAGACACGGCCCAGACUCCUACGGGAGGCAGCAGUGGGGAAUAUUGCACAAUGGGGGAAACCCUGAUGCAGCGACGCAGCGUGCGGGAUGACGGCCUUCGGGUUGUAAACCGCUUUCAGCAGGGAAGAAGCGAAAGUGACGGUACCUGCAGAAGAAGUACCGGCUAACUACGUGCCAGCAGCCGCGGUAAUACGUAGGGUACGAGCGUUGUCCGGAAUUAUUGGGCGUAAAGAGCUCGUAGGUGGUUGGUCACGUCUGCUGUGGAAACGCAACGCUUAACGUUGCGCGUGCAGUGGGUACGGGCUGACUAGAGUGCAGUAGGGGAGUCUGGAAUUCCUGGUGUAGCGGUGAAAUGCGCAGAUAUCAGGAGGAACACCGGUGGCGAAGGCGGGACUCUGGGCUGUAACUGACACUGAGGAGCGAAAGCAUGGGGAGCGAACAGGAUUAGAUACCCUGGUAGUCCAUGCCGUAAACGUUGGGCACUAGGUGUGGGGGACAUUCCACGUUCUCCGCGCCGUAGCUAACGCAUUAAGUGCCCCGCCUGGGGAGUACGG